rnacentral:rRNA from 1 species
AUUGAACGCUGGCGGCAGGCUUAACACAUGCAAGUCGAGCGGAGAUGAGGUGCUUGCACCUUAUCUUAGCGGCGGACGGGUGAGUAAUGCUUAGGAAUCUGCCUAUUAGUGGGGGACAACAUUCCGAAAGGAAUGCUAAUACCGCAUACGUCCUACGGGAGAAAGCAGGGGAUCUUCGGACCUUGCGCUAAUAGAUGAGCCUAAGUCGGAUUAGCUAGUUGGUGGGGUAAAGGCCUACCAAGGCGACGAUCUGUAGCGGGUCUGAGAGGAUGAUCCGCCACACUGGGACUGAGACACGGCCCAGACUCCUACGGGAGGCAGCAUUGGGGAAUAUUGGACAAUGGGGGGAACCCUGAUCCAGCCAUGCCGCGUGUGUGAAGAAGGCCUUAUGGUUGUAAAGCACUUUAAGCGAGGAGGAGGCUACUGAGACUAACACUCUUGGAUAGUGGACGUUACUCGCAGAAUAAGCACCGGCUAACUCUGUGCCAGCCGCCGCCGUAAAAC